AUGCUGCUUGUGAAGUUCUUGAACCUCCGGAGGACAGACAUUAAAGAGCUUCCUUCCAAAAUUGGAAGGCUCAAGCAUUUGGAAACUCUUGAUAUACGGGAGACAAAUGUCAGAGAACUGCCUGAUUCUAUUGUCCAGCUUGAGAAGAUAAGUGACAUACUUGGGGGAAACAAACACACACGAGAAACACUCAAGUUGCCUCAAGAAAUUGGGAAGAAGCCAAUGAAAUCCCUCCGUAUACUUUCAGGGAUUGAGAUUGUUGGAGGAUCUAGUGGUAUGCCGGACCUCCAUGAAUACACCGGGUUGAAGAAGCUUACCAUUUACAAGCUGAACAUCCAAGAGAAGGAUCCAAGCUUCAAAACAUUUGUUUCCUCCAUCGAAUACCUUGGUGGCUGCUCACUCAAGACUCUUUCCAUAGAUGACCAGGCCUCAGACUUGCUCAACUCACUAGAUUCUCUGACUUCACCUCCCAAGUACCUCACCGGGCUUGAGCUGCACGGCAUGCUGACCAAAUUUCCUCAGUGGAUCCAACAACUGAGCGACCUCAGCAAGUUAACUCUUUCCAUGACAGUCCUCCGGACUGACACUAUCGAGCUUCUGAGCAAGCUACCGUCGCUGUUUUCUCUCACCUUCUCCUUCAGUGCAGCAAAGGAGGUUCCAUACUUCGGUGACAUCCUUCACAAGAACAAAUCUGACUCUGAAGGUGAGAUCGUCGUCCCAGAUGGAGGAUUCGAGGCCCUAAAGCUGCUCCGCUUCGCCACGCCUGUCCUGCCCCUGCUGAUCUUCUCAGAGAAGGCCAUGCCGGUGGUCGGGCGGCUUGAGAUGAGUUUCAAGGUGCUGGAAGGUGUCUUCGGCAUGGACAACCUUGCCGGACUCCAGGAGGUGCAUCUCCGGGUGAGCGACAAGGCUGGUAAAUUCACCAGGUCGACGCUAGCUCGCCUAGUAAAGCAGGCAAGGAAGUCCGCCAAGGCGCCCAGGGUAGUAGUUGAUGAAUACUACGACGGGUUCAAAUAA
rnacentral:rRNA from 1 species